rnacentral:rRNA from 1 species
UGGGGAAUAUUGCACAAUGGAGGGAACUCUGAUGCAGCGACGCCGCGUGAACGAAGAAGGCUUUCGAGUCGUAAAGUUCUUUUAUAUGGGCAGAUAAUGACGGUACCAUAAGAAGAAGCCCCGGCUAACUACGUGCCAGCAGCCGCGGCAAUACGUAGGGGGCUAGCGUUGUCCGGAAUCACUGGGCGUAAAGGGUUCGCAGGCGGAAAUGCAAGUCAGGUGUAAAAGGCAGUAGCUUAACUACUGUAAGCAUUUGAAACUGCAUAUCUUGAGAAGAGUAGAGGUAAGUGGAAUUUUUAGUGUAGCGGUGAAAUGCGUAGAUAUUAAAAAGAAUACCGGUGGCGAAGGCGACUUACUGGGCUCAUUCUGACGCUGAGGAACGAAAGCGUGGGUAGCAAACAGG